AGGAUAAUAGUUAAUUAUAACAUUUAAUUUGCAUUUAAAAAGUAUUGUUCAGCAAUUUAUCUUU
rnacentral:tRNA from 1 species